UUUGGCAUGUGGUCGAAAUUUGCUUACGAGGAGGAUGACAACUUACAAAUGCUCGAGCUAGUAAUUAAAUAUUAUUACCCUUUUGGUUUCGAAAUGUUUGAGGUAAAGUUCCUUGAAAAAAAUAUAUCUGAGGUAGUGAUAGCUCAUCAUGAUUAUUUGGCCCAAGUACUAGUUAGUCCUAAUAAAGAAUUUCGGACUUAUUAAAUCAUUCUUGGCGGUAAUAAGUUUUCCCCUCCACACACGAGCCAAACGACAACUAAAAACGAGCAAAAGACACACUACACCUCCAACACGUUUGCCUCCAAAUUACAACAUGUCAUACGUUUGACAUGAGAACCCCUUACACUCUACGUUAUACUCCCUCCGUUUCAAAGUAUAGAUCGUUUUAGUUUUUUAUUCAUAAAUAUUAUUAUACAUAUAGAUAUAGUGUACGUCUAGGUACAUAAUAAUAUCUAUGAACUUAGAAAAGUCAAAACCAUCUAUAAUUUAGAACAGAUGAAGUACCAUCUUAUCGAUCUUUUGUCUAAUUUCUAUUAUCCCCUCGCACCUCGCUUAACUCCUUUCGUGCAUCUCAUGGUAUAGACAGCUGAGUGCAUCUCGUGAUCUUGGUCAUUAUAAAAUUUCGAAAAAACUUAAGUAGUCCCUAGUACUCCCCAUAUUUUUUUUAUAAACAUCUAAGUACUCCCGAUGCCAGUCCCAAAUUAAGCGUUGCGUUGUAGAUGUGCGGAUCGUGUUUUAAGCAAACGCAGAUCAGUUCGCGUGUUGUGACCAACCUAGACAGCUGAGUGCACAAAUAACACAGGCGCCGCACAACUUUAGAGGAGUUGACCCAGCCUAGCAACCUACGCUGUCCAUUCAUGUCUCUCUGAACUCGACCGUCUCAAGUUGGAGCACACCACUGACUCCUCUACCCGUCUCGUGCAGCUGCCGCGCCGCUCAGCUCAGGCAGCCUGCGCGCGUCGGCGCCGGUCAAAUCAGCGGGCCGCCGCCUGCGAGCCGCAACGGCCGUCUCCUGCCGCCCUGCAACGCCGCUGCGCCGCCGCCGGCGUCAGGACUCUGCCGCCGUGCCGCGGCAAUCCGGCAAGGGCUUUUUUUUUCUAGCACAGUCCGGCAAAGGCUGACACGCGCCACCUUUGCGUUCUCCAAAAGCGUCAGGGGCUCAGGAGGGCCCAGCAACAGCCUGGCAGCCAGAAGCAGCAGCAGCGAGCGACGCAGAAUCUUGGCCUGCUAGGGUUACGAUGUGGGCUAUAGAAGAAUUCUCGGCCCAAUCUCUAGAUGGGCUUCUCGCGACCUGCCGGCGCCGGCCCAACCCAUCGACAAAACAGGACGAGCCGCCGACGCGGAUAGGAAAUCUCUCGGAGGAAGAAGACGGCAGCAGAAGGGACGAAACUCCGAAGCGGCCGGUCGCCGCUCCCCCGAGUCCGCGACCGCGACCCGCGAGGAGGGCGAGCCCGCCGAGGCGGAAGGUGCCUCGAGAUCUCCUCCCCGCGGCUCGCGGGUCAGAAGCAGCAGCAAGUCGCAUUUCUAAAUUCAUCGUCGUUUCGUCCCCACCCCAUCCCUGCCAUCUGCCUUCCAAAAUCCGCACACCCCCUCCUCCCCCCGCGCGCCCAGUUAAACCCGUCCGCGGCCGCGAGUUUGACUCGUGAUCGCGUCCAGAUCCGGCUUCCUCCCCCUCCGACGACUCCCGCGCACAAAACAAUUCCGAGCGAGGCGGAGACCCCCGUGAUAAAUCACCGCGCACCACCCGUGGCUUCCCACCACACCACCGAAUUAUCCGCAGUGCGGGGCCGGAGGAAGCUUCUGAAGGUGAGAGUUUUUUUUUUUCCUCUUCUGCUUUCCCGGGGUUUUCCGGCCCCGUUUCUGCUUCAGGGCGGGGUAGGCAUCACAAGAAUUCGAUCUUUGGGCGUCGCCCUCGGCGCUUGAUGCCCACUUGGGAGGUUUCUUGCGACGCCUCCCUCCUUGGGUGUUAAAUGGGUAGAUGGGGUGCCAAUGAAUAAAAUGUCUUGCGGAGGCUGCGCACGAAACUGCCACUGUGCGAAGCGGUCGUCGUUGGUCCUGACGGGAUGCUCUCACCUAACAUUUGAUUGAUUGAUGUUUUUAUUUUCUUCUGUCCAUGGCGGCGUUUAGUUCGUGCAGUGACUUCUUGCGCUAGCAUACGACGCAUGCUUCGGCGACUAUAACUAAUUCCAUUAUUUUUCAUGUUUCUUUAAAACAGAAUCAGAAACUCUUCAUGUGACUGAUCGGUUGGUUGCGCCGGCUUGUGAGGCUCCAGCAGCAAGUUCAGGGAGCACUUCGUGUGCUUGCAGCCACUUGUAGAUUCCUCAUCAAGGUGCUGGUGCUAUCACGUUGUGGUAGUUGAGAAGGAUCUGUCUAACUUCCACAGCUGCGAGGAAAGCUUGCUGAGGUAUGCUGUACUUGUUUUCUUUAUUAUCACAAACUAGCACAUCCCAUUAUUAGGACCUCGUCUAAGUUGUCCUCCUUGACUUGGACCAAGUGCUUAGGUGGUACAAUACGUGCUGUUGAUAUUUCUACAUGUCCUGUCAUGCUAGCAACCUAACAUGCUUGCGACGUGCCCCAAGCCUGUUUGACUUCCAUGGCUGUCAUGGACAAACGCAUUAUGCCCCCCACGAGCUUAUUUGAUUGUGCUAGCUGCUAGGUGGUUGUUGCAUACUGGUCUUCCCUCUUCUCUUGCCACCUCGGGCUGCCUCAACUGGCUUAAAAAGAUACAUGCUUCAUACCUAGAUCAUUUGGAGUUGGAGUUGAAUUUUGGUUAUAAGCCAUGGCAAAUUCCCGGGCUGGACGUUACAAGGUAUUUGUUGACCUUUGCUUGGAUUCUUUACUUCUUUAUCUGGCAUACUUUGGUCGUGUUUUGAUGCUGUUAUGAAGUGUUUCUGAUCCUGCUGCCUCAUCUUUUGCCUUUGAUUUUGUUGUGCGACUUCUUUUAAGUACUUGUUAUCUGCCUUUUGCUUUUGCCUUUUGGUGUCUGCUUCAUCUUGUUUUGUUUUUGUUUGACCUUCCUGUAUCUUUACCUUGCUUGCUGGUUCUGUAUCACAAAUAUGAUUUGGGUAACAUGUUUGCCACAGAAGAAAAAUAGGAUGGCCUGACACAUAAAGCAGACUUUUACUUUCUCUCUGUGAAAUUUUUCAAUAUUCAGUAUUUAUCAGCAUCAGUUGAUAAAAACUAUUUCUUUUGUUCAGUAAAUUAGCAUUUACAGCUAUAACCUUCUUGAUGUGCCUUAGAUUUGUUUUUUUUAUUUGGCAUAUAUGUGUUGGAAGUUGAUCCUUGAAAGUCCUUCCAUACCAAUCCUAGCUGGGAGUGCAGGAAAAUGUGGUUUGAUCUUUAACAUGUGAUGUUGAUGAUCUCUUUAUCACACAAGUUACUGAAUAGUGCAACUAAAUCUGGUAAACACAAAUAUACUUGUGCGCAGUGUUGUUAGUCCCAAUUGUUACUGUAUGAAACUUGAUUGGAAGGUGCUGAUCUCUGGGGGUAGGGCCAAAUUUGUGGAGUUAUGAGAUGUCAAGGCUUUGUAUAGGUGCAUAGUUUUUAGGUAUUGUUCUGGAUUGUCAAUUGCUACAUUAGUAUAAUGUCAGAUUUCCAUAGAUUUUGUUUUAAGAUCAAAUCGGUAUCCAUCAAAUGUGAAAAUAUAGGCAUCAUCAUUGCAAUAUAGGAAUGACAAGGUUGAUUAAUUACCUGGGUUUGCAAACAGUUUAAUUUUAAGGGUGAAGCUGAUUUUAAAGGUGUGGAAACCUAUUUAGAGGACAGGAAUUUCUGACCCUUUCUUUUCAAUCUUGUUCUUUUAUGGUGUGAAACCAACAUAUAGUGAUUGCUUUAUCUUAUGAUACAAUUGCGUAUCCUAAUGCAAUGUAACAUGUGAGAGAGUUCACUGGCCAGUAUGCAUGCAUAUCACUAUCAUGGUUUUUAAAUGCUGUUGACCUAGCCAUUCCCUUUGCCAUGGUUGCAGCUUUGUGAUCUAGAAGGAGUUAACUCCUACAUACUCAAGCAAUGUGAUGAAAAAAUUUCUCUUGUGUAGCAUUCGAAAUCAAAUGCAGUAGAAGAAUUCAGUGUGUCAUAACUAGUGAACUGGGAGUUGUACUUGUAAUGGUCAAUAGUAGUUUCUUUUUCUUGUAUCAUGUAGUAGGAUACAAACUGAUGAUGCGGCGUGGAAACUGAACUGUGCCCUCUUAUGCUUUUGCACUUCACCAAAUUCUUCUAAGAUGGUUGCAUACUUUCUUUACAUUAAGGAAACCUAACCUAUGCUUAAGAUCUUAACUAUCUGAUGCAUUAACUUCAGUGUCCUCAUGCAUUUCUUUGAAACUUUAGUAAUUGUAGUAGUUUGCAUGUUGCAGAUGUCUAAUCUCUCAGACCCCUCCAAAGAAGAUGCUUCAUCAGAGGGUUCAGGUACUAUCCAGAAAAAUGGAGCCUGGAGUAACGCAUUGAACACUCUUCUGCAGCAAGCCUCAGUCUAUGGUGUUGCUGCUGGGUAUUGUCUAUCAGCAUCUCUGCUUUCCAUCAUCAACAAAUGGGCAGUCAUGAAAUUUCCGUAUCCUGGAGCCCUGACAGCUCUGCAGUACUUCACUAGUGUUGCUGGAGUUCUCCUCUGUGGACAGCUAAAGCUCAUUGAGCAUGAUGGCCUCAAUUUGAGGACUAUGUGGAAGUUUUUACCUGCUGCUGUGAUGUUCUAUAUCUCCAUCUUCACAAACAGUGAACUCCUGCUGCAUGCCAACGUGGACACUUUCAUUGUGUUCCGCUCUGCUGUGCCAAUAUUUGUUGCCAUCGGAGAGACGCUGUAUCUUCACCAGCCAUGGCCAUCGCUGAAGACAUGGCUUUCACUUUCCACUAUACUUGGUGGAAGUGUGAUCUAUGUUUUCACAGACAAUCAAUUCACUGUGACUGCUUACACCUGGGCGGUGGCCUACCUAGUAAGCAUGUCCAUUGAUUUUGUGUACAUCAAGCACGUUGUCAUGACCAUUGGGCUGAACACAUGGGGCCUUGUGCUAUACAACAACCUUGAAGCUUUGAUGCUGUUCCCCCUUGAGCUCCUUAUAAUGGGAGAGUUUGAUCAGAUGAAGGUUGACAGCUCCAAAGUGUCAAAUUGGCUUUCAUUUGAUGUGGUCCUCCCUGUUGCUCUCUCAUGCCUAUUUGGGCUGUCGAUAUCCUUCUUUGGGUUCUCUUGCAGACGGGCUAUCUCUGCUACUGGGUUCACAGUAUUGGGCAUAGUGAACAAACUCCUGACCGUGGUGAUUAAUCUGCUUAUCUGGGACAAGCAUGCCUCCUUUGUGGGUACCAUUGGGCUCCUUAUAUGCAUGUCAGGUGGUGUACUCUACCAGCAAUCCACCACAAAACCAAAAGCACCAAAGGUUGAGCCAAAGGAAGAGAAUGAUGAGGAGCAGCAGAAAUUGCUGCAGAUGCAGGGAGUGCAAGAGAGCAGUUCAACUCAAAAGUAAAGUUCUUCAUAAACCUUAAAAGAAGUUCACCAUUGAUGCGGUACCUCCUUUGCAACAGCCUCGCCUGAACACUUGGGCACUGGUUGAUGCUUGGAAACAAACACAUGGGUGGAUCAUGGAUGGUAGUCCUGGACUAGGUGUUGCAAAAUCUCGAAAAGUUUUAGAUAUUAGAUGCCAUGGAGGGGACCUAGCUAAGAAUCAUCAUGCAAUUCUUUGUUACUGCAUUACCGUUUUCAUUUGUUACACAAGAUUUUUAUGGUAGUAGGGUACGAUGGACUUGUCAAAUGUACCUACCUACCUGCACUGAAUACGUCGUAAAUGAAAGCAUCUAUCUCAUCAAGUCUGUGCUUAUUUAUUUCUCUGCUGAAGUUUGCCAAUUUAUUCUGUAAUGGUGAUGGAACCAUCCGUUUCCCUCUUAUGCUGAAAGAAAAUCUUUCAUGUGCCCAGUGCAUGAACUGUAUCAUACUAGAAGUCUGAAGCAGAUGCUAUUCAAGUGAACUUCGCAUGCCGAAAGUCUGAAAGCGAUGCAGUUCAAGUAGCUUUGCUUGGUCACUGGCGCAAUGCAUUCAAAGAGCAUCAACUACGACAUUAAAAUGAGUCUAGUUUGUUUUUUUUCAAGUGUAUUAGUUGGUUGCGUGAAAUAUUUAAUGCAGUCAAAGUACUAGGAUUUAUAGUUGUAGUCAAGGAAAUAUAAUGACAUCUAAUAAGGUACAGAGGAAAUAUCUCUGCGUCAAGGAAUAUUCAGGUUGUUUAUCUUUGCACAUAUGGUGUUGAUAGCUUCUGGUCAUCGGGAAAAUACGACUUCCUUGCAUCCUUUUAAUUUUCUCUUUUGAAGGGACCAACUCCUUGGUAUCUUGUAAGUUUUUUUUUUAAAAAGGUAUCUGGCCAUUUCUUUGUUGUGUCGCAUCAGGGGGAAUUCAGAGUCAGUACGCUUUUGUCUGAUGAUGAAGGAAGAAGAAAUGAAUAAUACUGCGUUGUUUCCCUUUUUUCUGCCAAAAAAAAGAGAAAAAAAGAUAAAACACAUCUUGUUUGCCCUUUAUUCCUUCCGGACGGGCGAAAGGAAAUCCUCGCCGUCCGAUCCAUUCGUCGCGGCCCAGAUUCCAUCAUCAUGCUGUUUCCAGUUUCCACCCGUCAUUCAUUCCGUUCUACCAAAAUCUAAACCCAAAGCCGGUCUCUCUCGCACGGACGCACGCACCCGUCCUUGCUCCCUCCCCCCGACCUUCCUCCUCGCCCAAUGGCGCACCGCGAAACCAAAAUCUCGCAAUCCGAACCAACCCCAGCGAUAUAGCGCCGCCGCCGCUCGAUCCCGCCUCGCCGUGCCGGCGCCCCUGGAGGAUCCCAGCCCGUCGCGAGCCGCGUGGGGUUCCGCUCCAAUCCGAAUCCGAACCUCCCGCAGGACGCCGCGGGUCUCGUCUCCGGCCUCGUAGGACUGUAGGAGGUAAUCGCGGAACACUUGUUCUCCUUGGUAGUUCUUCUUUUCGGUUCUGUUCCUCCGGUUGGUGUGAGCUCCGUCACGUUUGAUCUAGGGUUUGUAUUUUUUGGGGUGAUUUUACUGGGCUAAUCGCGUUAUCGAUUGUCUGCGUGGUUUCAUUUGGUUUCGAUUACGCACUAACUGUUGACCAGGUCUGAUGAGGAAUUUGAACUUUGCAGGAGGUCGCCCGAGGGUUGGUUUCCGAGCUAGAUAUGUACGGGCAGGGAGGGAGCUUUAAUCCACACUAUCGCCAUGGCGCGCCGCCGCCCCAGCACCAAUCUGGGGUAACUGGGUCCUUCCAUCAGCAGCCUAUCCCACCACCGCCAGCACCGUACCCACAGCACCCAGGAAUGCGGCCUCCGCCUGGCCCGUACCAGCACGGCGUGCCGCCACCUCAGAACCAGCCAUACCCUUUUGCCCAGCAGCAGAGAGGUUAUGCUCCGAUGCCGCUGCCGCCACAGCAGAGAGGCUAUGCACCGAUGCCAAUGCCAGGGCCGCCGCCACAACAACAAGCUACCUAUCAGGCCCCUCCACAGUAUCCCAUGCCAGGGUCCCUCCCUCCACCGCCGCCUCGGCCACCCAGCUUUGCUCCAGAGAAUGCACUGCCUCCAUCUGGCCCACCACCACCUCCUCCACCACCACCCCCAUCUCCUCCGCCUCCAUUGCUGUCUGCACCUCCCGCUCCUGUAGUUGCACAAUCAUGGGGUACAGAGGCAGGAGGAAAAGAAGAAUGUGGUGAUGGUGGUGGUGGUGGUGAUGCCAAAACUCUGAAAGCAGCUACUCAGCUAAUUGUGUCUGAUGACUCAGACAUGGAUAUGGAUGGUUAGUGCUCCAUUUCCCCUCCUCCAUCUCUGUUCAGUGACACUUACUCCGUUUGAAACUCACUUUACUCUUGUUGCUGCAUUUUGUGUUACAGCAAUAAAAGAUCAUAGUUUAUAUUGUUGAAAAAAACAUCUCUGUGCAUGAACAUCUUACCUGAUUUUGGAAUUCCAGAUUAAUUUUCACAUUGGUUUGUCUCUAGAGAUUUACUUUUAUCACGAAAAAUUUUAGGGGAUGAGGACUCUCCAUCAAGGCAACCUCUUACCCCAGAUAAUUCUUCCCUUGUGACUGCUGAAUGUACUGGAGAUGUUAAUGUGUCAAAGUCUGUCAGUGAUGUUUCAAGCCUGGGCAAGCAUUUGCCACCUGGCAGUGGUGAAAAUGCUAAAACUGCACAUGUAACUGUGGAUGGUGGGAGCCCAUUCAAACUAAUACAAGGUUAUGCCUCCGAUGACAGUGCAAAUGAGGUUGCUGCUGGUCCUGAUGGUGCCAGCACCCUCGUUGUAUUACCUGAAGAUAACAAGCUCAAUCAUCCAAUUGAUAGAAAUACUGAAAUUGGUUAUGACAAACAUCCUAAUGCAAAAAGAAAUGUGAAUUCCCCUCCUGGCACCGAGGAACAUGUUGAGGCUGGAAAGUAUCAUCUCAAGGAUGAAAGAAAUCCAGUGAAGCAUGGCACAGAUGUGCUCGGGCAUCUAGCCAAAGAAGAUUUAAGUGACAGUGAAUUUAAUGGAGGGCAAAUGAGUAAAAGGCAUGAGAGGAGACAAAAGAAACGAACCUGGAGCCAGUCGCCUCAGGAUAGAAGUCGUAGUCCACUGGGGUCAAACAAGGACAGUCCAUCCCAAAGGUACGGCACCUUGUACCUUGCCAUGAACUUCAAAUAGAUGCAUCAAUUCAUCUGCACUGCACUUCUGUUUCUUAGAUUUUUUUAUGACAUUCAAUUGCUGCUUUGGAAGUCUGACUACAUUUAAUUUCUUUCAGUUCCUCACCUGGAAAGCAAAGCAGGCCACCAUUUGCUAAGCGGAUUCAUCCUUCUGUAGAAGGUAAUUCAGGAGAUAGAAUUGCUCAGCAAAAGGGCCUGGUGCUGACAGAGAAAUUUGAUAGUUCUUCAAAUGAUUUAAUUGGCAAAGUGGGAGAUAAGGGCGCACCUGAUGGUGCCCUUGGAUACAAUUGUCAUGGUGACAAUUUAAUUUCUGAGCCUUCACAACCAGUGGCUGAAAUCCCUGUGGGCCAAUCUGCUGGAAGUGCCCCGUUUGCAUCAGUACAGACUACCAAGAACUCCGUGGCAUGUGAUCAUCUCCAGCCUCAUCCUCAGAGUUUGUACCCUCCUGAACACAUGCCAUCCUCGAAUAUGGUUCGGCUACCAGGACAGUCAUUAUUUGCAACUUCAGAAUUCCCUCAAACGCAGUUCCAGCAUAAUGUUAUUGCACCAGCCAAUGAAUUCAUGCAGAACCAGAUGAGAAGCUAUCCUCCACCAGAUCCGUCUCAUCCUAGACCAUUGGAUUUCCAUCAUCAUACGCGCCCGCCAGCAGUUCCUUCUCACCAGCAGCCUUCUGCCAUUUCUGUUGAAAAUGCUCCAGUACCUCCUCCAGACAGAUGGUCUGAGUAUUCUGGUGGUGUAGGUCUAUCUUAUUCAUCUCAUCAUCCGCCAUAUGGUCAGCACCAGCCUCCAGGGAAUCUGGAUUCAGGAACUAACUUGGUUUAUCCUUCUUUCCAGAGAUUUCCAUCAAAUCUACCUGGAAGUAGCGAUCUUGGUCCUUUAUCUGAUGUUGGUUUGCCUAAAUCAUCUAUCAAACCCCACUACAACCCAUUUGCAUCUACCUUUGAACAAACAGAUCCAAGUCUAGAUAUUGGUCCUGUUGUAAGCCCAAAUGCAGUUGACUCUAUUUCCACAAAAGCAGAACACAUGAAUGCCCUGUCUCCUUUUGGUCAAUCAUUUCCUGAAUCCAGAACACAUGCCCACGAAAGUUCUGCAGAAGCUGUGCCCAAUAAACAAAAGCCACUCCGUCAGGACUUUGCUUCCGGUGCUCCAUAUGAUCCAUUGCUUGACAGUAUUGAACCAUCAAGCAGUUCAAUCAACAAGGUAGAUCCUAGUAAAGAGAAAAACCGGAGUGCUGAUAGUCGUGAUGUGUCAAAACUUAUGAAUAUAGAAGUGGACAGUGAAAAUAUGUACGGAUUGGGGGUUGUUGCUGAGUCAGAAGUUGAGGGACUUGGAGAGGUGGCAGCAGAUACCGAAGCAGGUGUGGUGGAAAAUGCAAGUCCUGAAUUCCUGGGUGCUAAAGACUGGAACUCAGAUAUUCCUGGUGAUAUUGACAAUGACCAAACAUUGCACAAAAAUAAGAAGGGUAAGGAUUCCCGAUCAAUGAAGCUUUUUAAGGUUGCUAUUGCAGAUUUUGUUAAGGAAGUUCUUAAGCCAUCGUGGAGGCAGGGAAACAUGAGCAAAGAGGCUUUCAAAACUAUUGUCAGGAAAACAGUUGAUAAGGUUUCUAAUUCAGUCCCUAGCAGUCAUAUUCCAAAAACACCUGCCAAGAUUAAACAUUAUGUGCAAUCCUCUCAAAGGAAGGUGACAAAAUUAGUAAUGGUAUGUGUAUUAUCACCUGUCUAGAAUAUUUGUUAUUGUGCAUAUAUUCUGUUCAUAUGCUUGUAGCAUUCUGUGACAAUAUAUGUUAUGCAAUAGUCUUGUUCAUGGCAUAUGAUUUGUUUAGCAAGUAGCAACUGAACAUUGUAGAGAAGUGAAAAUUAUGCCAUGCCCUUGAUACUGAGAAACACAAGUUGCACUUUAGUUGGUUGCUUUUGAGCCCUAAAUUCUGAUGUCCUGAAGCAUGUUAUGUUGUCAUCCAGCCAUUUGGUAAUUAUUUAUUUGAGUUUGCCAACGUAUCUUUAUAUUUUUUUUACGUGAAAGCUCCAUUCUGAUAAUAUCACUGAAUUGAGCACAUCUUGUCUGGUCAUCAUCUGGCCAUUAUUUAUUUUACUUCAGAUUUCCUAUGCAGGGGUAUGGGCACCUAUUAGUGAAUUUGUCAUGUUGCAAUAUUUGAAAAUUAUGCCAAAAAGAUCAUGCAUGUAGUAACAUAAAGUUAAGUAUAUCUGCAAGAAGUCAAAUUCUUUCUAGACGCCAAGAAACAAAAUAGGCAAGCAGUCAAUCUGGCACCAUUCAUCAUGUGCUGGCACUGAGAGUAGUAGUUUUAAAUCUCAAUAUAAAAGAUGAAUUUAAUAUUGAAUUUUUGCAGGUUUAUUAGCUUUGUUACCUUUACCUAAAUGAUUUUUGUGAUUAUCUCUUGAAACAUUGCAACGUGUUGGGUUAACUAUAUUUGGCUAAGAAGGGAACACCCGAACCCCAGGACAUCAAUGAAUUAAUGUAUUUGUUUACUAACAUCUUGAUUAAGUUUCUGAAUAGCAAUUGGCCCCACAUAAGGGGAAGACAUACAUGAGCUAUCUUAUUGUGCUUGCGAGUUUUUAGCUCUCAUACAUUUUCAGAAUGAGAAAGCUUUGUAUCACUAUCUUCAUAAAAAAAAUGUGAUUCAUCCCCCAUAUAUCAAAUAUUUUGUAAUCAAUGGUACUAUAUUCUCCGUUAGUUCUUUGUUGUGCCAUUUUCUUGCUCAGGACAUUUGUGAUGGCUCCACUGACUCCCAUUACUACAUUUCUUCAGGGGUAUGUCGACAAGUAUGCGAAGCUAUAGUUAGAUGAGUAAAUGGGAUUAUGCGCUGAACCAAUCAGAACUGUUAAGGUUCCAGAAUUUGUGAUGCAUACUAAAUGAGGCUGCAUGAAACAGUCAUUCAACAGUAAGGUACUUUGCUCUAGUUCUGCAGGAAAUGCUGUAUUUUUUUGGAAUAUCACGCAUCUAGGUUUUCUUCCAGUUUUGAUUAUUUGCAGCCUGAUCUCUUGUACCUUGUAAGGCAUGUCCUUAGCUGUUCUGUUCAUAUGGUAUUUCCAUUUCUUCCCCCAACAUGGGAUAAUAGGAUGAGACCUAUGCAGUGUGCGCUAUUUCCGCAAACAAGCUGCUGAAAGAACUUUGUUUCUGGAUGGUAAAUGUACAUGCUGAGAGCUGGAUGACUUGACAAACUACUGACUUGUCGCAUUCUUCAACGUGGCUUAUGCUUUUAUAGGAUAUUGUUUGGUGGCGAUAUUUUUCGGACGGGAUAACAUCCAUCCUGCUAUUGCUAUGGACUAUCAAAGAUCAUAGAACGAUCCCAAUCUUAGCUAGAAGCUUGUCCGGAGCUAGUGGAUGCAACAGGAAAAGGACACGAAUGCACGACACCUUGAAGCUUUGGCAAGCUUGAGAGAAUAUGGUGUGUCCCGGUCCAAAUUUACUGAAAUUGUUUGCUUUAUACUGUCGAACUGUCAAAACAGCGACAAAUCUAGCCAAUAUGGUGUCUGUAUAAUUCGACUGUUGGAUUUACAUGAAACUGUCUAGAUCCAUUCCAUUUCCACCUUUUUUUUUUUACUUCGUCCCAAACCCUCGCCUUUCGUCUCUCUUACCGUUGCCUUCCUCUCGGUCGCUCCCAUGUUCUCCUGACUCUAGACUUUGUCAAGCCGGCCUUCCCCCGCUCACCAGGUGCCAGAGGUUAUGCACCGAAGGAUACUCAAAAUGCGCCUGACAAGCAAGUACGGAAACUGCGUGGUGGUGUUUGGGUUGGGAUUGGCCUAAUGCUAAGUUUUGUACAGGAUUAGAAUAACUAGGCUAGCUAGCCUUUCCCCAAUUCACAAAUCAUUUUGGGUUUAAUACGGGUGUUUUUUCUUUUGCCAGGGAAACUUGGACUGGCUAUAGUUACAUAUAGAUUAGGUGGAUUAGCUGGACCAGCUAAUCUCGUCUUCCAACUGGCUCGUUCACAGUUAAAAAUUAUUAUUUCUGGUUUUAAAAAAGGGUGGUACUGACGAACCAGUUAAGAAAGCCCAUGGACGUUUGACGGGCGGCCCAAACCCAAACAGAGCAAACUGAUUAAAAACAGAAUUGUGCCCGUGCGUUGCUACGGUCAUAACAUAUUUCCUUUAUGAGUGUCAAUUUUCAUGUAUGAAACAUUUGUGAUGGCAUCAAAAUAUAUGCAUACACUAUAUUUUUAAAAAUAUUCAUGUUCCAAAGUAUGCAUAGGACUGGGUAUGACCCAUAAUAUAAUAGGAGUAUAAAUUGUUGCAACUUUAUAAGUUUUCUCUCGCUCCACUUUAGCCCAUACGUGUCUAUUUCUACUACCAUCUAGUCGUUGACGUUGGGGAGGUAGAGUCUCACUCUAAGAUGACAUGCUGCCAGUGGCAACCUCCUCGACACCACGCAUUGCUGGUUGCUGCCAUAACAUCUCCAUGGUUGCCCCCUCCUAGCAUAGGCCAUUAAGUCGUUUCAUAUUAGAUCAACAAAUUCAUUUCAGAAGACAUUAGUAAUCUUAUCAGUAAGCACUCAAUAUUUUGCAAGCACCAUGAUGAGCAACAAGUGUUUUAGCGCACGUGUAUGAUCUGUUAUGGUAUGAAUUUAAUCUCCCUUUUCAAAAGAUAGUCUCAUUUCUGAGUCACAGAGAAAUCGUUGGCCCUUUGAGUUACUGGUACCAUGAAAUGAAUUCAGAGCUAUGCCUUAAAAAUCAAGUUUCUGUUACCCAACACACCAGCUUUGGAAGUUUCAUCAACCUGUAAAAGUAAAUAAGAAUUCUGCCCAUUAGAAAUACAAAAUGUGUGGGUAUUGGCACUAUAAAAUCAGAGCAUAAGCUCUUUUUGGGCCAAGCUUGACCUGAUGCAUUAGAUAGGAGCAUGGCAGGAGAAAGGUGAAGAGCUAACCCCAACGAUCAGCACACUACAAAUUCUCAAGCUGCUGAAAAAUGCAAAAUACUUGAAAAUCUGAGCUGUAUCCCUGGAACUUUGCAGAACCAGAACACCUAUAUAGUUCUAAGCAUCAUUCUCCCAUCAACUUAUCACCUUCUAUCUCUGGUCGUAGGUCCUGUAUGCGCAAAGGGAGCAUUGCAUCAGUAAAUGGAGUUGCAAGUGGAACUGGAUUGCAUACGUGCAAGCAAAAAAUAACAAUAAGGACAUUCAUCAUACCUGCUGUGCAUCAUGAGCAACUCAAGCUCAACAUGUCAAGAUUAUGCAGUGUUUUUAUGAAAAUUUGUGAGAAUGCAUCAUACACCUUUCCUCAGAGUAGUACUUUUCUUCUGAUGGGCUGAUGGUGGCUUUCUGUACCCAUUCCAUGCUUCGGACUGCAUUUUGCAAUAAUGAGAAUUCAAAGUUUAGAUAGAACAAGGAAGCUUCAGAAUAUGCAACUUGAGUUGUCAAUUCAUUUAUGCGGGCAAUCUUACAAGAAACAAAUGCGGUAGCUGUGUAGCUACACCUAGUAGCCAAUCAUUUGAGCUUCUGUUUAUCAAAAAGAAUUGCUAGCUUGGCAGCUUUAAAUGAAAAGGCUAAAAGAAAGCUAUCUCUUGACCGCUAUUGCUACUGUAUGAAAAAUUGAAAGUCUUGAUUAAAGAGAAGGACAGAAAAUGUCACUGAGCAUACGACAAAGUUUCAGAUGUUGUCAUGUUAUGAAAUCACGAGGACCUAGCCAAAGAAAACAGUAUUGAAAAAAUAUAUAAAAAAAGAUUACUAAAAGAAUCUGGUAUACCGAAAAUUCCAAUAGUUCAAGGGCUGACGUAAAUAGACAGAGCAAAUCCCAUCCCUGCUGUCUCCUUGAAACCCCAUUCUAAUAAAAAGUACUAAACUAUGAUUAUUUUAUUUAGCCUUAUUAGCAACCAAACUUGUUAAAUUUACGGAUUGGCUUGGCAAUGUGCAUUGGACAGUAAGCCUUAAGAGGCAACCAAACUUAAACUGGUUAUAAUUUACAGAUUGGCUUGGCAAUGUGCAUUGGACAGUAAAAAACAAUUAAUCAUAACCAUCCUUUAAUUUGGGUAGGUGCCAUGACUGAAUACAUGACACCAUUUUUAUGCCUACAUUAUUGUUUCAGCAAGAUAUAGAAAACACAUCAUUUAGCAUUGAAGAACAGAAAUAUAAAGCAUCCAUAUAUCACAGCUUUCAUGACAGGACACUUUUUUUUAACUCAUCUGUGCCAAACAAACUUUACCAAAACUUACUGUGAACAAUUUAUUGUAAAGAAAAGAAUGCAAUCAACUUUCGUAUAGAGAUAGUAUCUCUAAUAUUAAAAUGAGAAGAUGUGGAGAAUUAAAAAGGUAUGAAAAAUUAUAAUAAACAGAAUACCUUCAAUUCCUCAGAGUCUACAGUCCGGAAGCCUCAAACUAUGCGAAUCCAGCUUGUCCUAGAAGUUCACCUCGGUGAGCUUUUUGAUCUCCAGGACCACAUCAUUACGGGCGCUCAUCUUACCUAUUCAUCAUUGUUACAGUACAAUCACAACCAAAUCACCUCCACGUAAUAUGGUAGAAAUUUAGCUCCGAGACAGGCCAAUUAGCAUUUGCAAGUGCUUGCAUGUAUAGGGAAGAUCUGACAAAUUCAAGAUCUGGGCAUUUUCCAACUUAAUAAUUGAAGUUAGUCUAAUAAAGACAUCUAUUUGUGUACUCAAUUGUUCAGAGCAACUCACAACCUGAACUGAGUUAUAGGUAGUCAGCAGUCAGCCUGAGAUGCUAUCGCACACAUUACAGCAGCAGUGUCACUGCCCGCGUCGCUUUGCUACUCAAUACGUAUGUCUGCAAUGUAAUAUUCAACAUGAGCUCAGAAAAGACGAGAGUUGCAGAAGUAGGCAGCAAAGCAAAGCAACCAUUUUGUAGAAAAGUGACACAGGAAGAAGCUUCUUUCCAGUAGUCAAGCUGAAAACUUUUCUUUUACACAUUCCCAUGACCAUAAUAUUCAGAUGUGAUGUUGUUAUAGUUAGGCUUAGACAAAUGACACCCACAUCGAAAAGAUUGUCUGCUAAAGAGCUGAUUACAAACCCAGGAGGGUAAUUAGGGGGUUAGUACAUAAUGACAAACAUGUUAUUGUAAAAUUGUGUUUCGAAUUAUUAUCUUGCUGCAGCCAAUUCUGAAUCAGGAAUAGGAUUAUUUUGUUCUUUCGGCAAGCACACCGCAGUCCAUCAAUAAGUAAUGUUUGUUUCUGAACAUGAGCUAUCAGUGGUUGAUAGAAUAGUAAAGUUUCUGGAUCAAGCUGUAGGCAAAAUUAUUAAUUAGAGUACCUAAAAUUAAUGUCAAUGAGAUCAGUAAGAUAACGAACCGACUGAGUUUUGGUUGCUGCACAGUCACGUUGUGUUAGAGCACAGAACCACAACUCCUGAUCAAGGAGGAAUUCCAGCUCAUCUCUUGCAUCUCUCUGAUAUCAACGUAUUUCCCAGCCCUGUUUAUGACCUCCUUUUGUCUCAUCCUUGGAAAUCCUCAAUGGCAAUGGAAGAUCAAAGCCAGUGUGAUGUCAAUAGAAAUCCUCAAUGGCAAUGGAAGAUCAAUCCUCAAUGGAUAAUUUUUUUUGGCCCAAUUAAAUUUUCAGUACAACAUGGGCACAAGCAUUACUUCAAACAACCAGUAACAAUCAUGCAUUGGGAUUCUUGUUGGACAUCGCGCAUGUUUCGUAGCGGGGACGGUAUAUUCCAUCCCACCAUCGGUUAGGGCGUCUCCGUAAACAACACACGUUCGGCUCCUGUCGUCCGCUCCCAUCCGUCCAAACGCUGGGGAGUGGCCCAGAUCCACCUACCACGACACACGCCGACCCCACAGCCACAGGUGGGGAGCGUGACGCUGACGCCGCCGCCUCCCAUUUCCUUUUGGCCUUUCCCCUCCGUCUCAGGCUCUCAGCUCUCCUCUUGCCGCCACCUCCUCCCAAGUCCCAAGCCAUCGCCCUCACGCUUGCUGCCGUCCCGCCGCCGCCGUCACCCGGCCACUGAAGCGGCCCGUGACCUCCUCCCGCUUGGUUCCUCCGGAAUCCGGGCGCGAGCUCCCCCUCGUCCGUCCUCUGGCUGUUCCUCCUCCCUUCCUCAUCCUCCUCUACCGGGGAUUUGGGUUUAUCGGUAAGCCCCUCAUUCUCUGAACACGUUGGCUUUCCGCCUUUCCUCUAAUUCUCGACGGCCGAUUCCAGGCAUUCCCCGUUCAUGGGUCGGUCGCCACUCGCCAAUUCGUUUGUGGCCAGUAAGGCUCCGUGGAUAGCUCGCGUUUAUGCGCCUGAUUUUGUUGUUUGCGGCAUGUCCGCGUAUGCCCCUUGUUUCUGUAGCUCCAUCGAUCAUUUCUAGACGGAAAUCUAUUUUUACUUAACGGGUAGUGUACAUCUAGUGCUUACUUGAUUCAUGGAGAUUCAUGGCUUUGCCCCUGUCUUGUGCUUUCCAGCUGAGUUGCGUGACGGCAAUGUGCUAGAAGAGCAAAUUUGGGCGGCUAGCAACCACUGAUUCUUUACUCUUCCUGACAUACAAUUAAGCACGCCAUGUCAACGAGGACAAGGAGGCACUUCGUGAUAUUCACCACCGCGAGCCUCCCAUGGAUGACGGGAACCGCCAUCAACCCUUUGUUUCGAGCUGCUUACCUGGCAAAAGACGGUGAUAAGGAUGUCACUUUGGUGAUCCCCUGGCUUUGCGUAAGGGACCAAGAGUUAGUUUAUCCUAAUAAGAUUGUGUUUGACUCGCCUUUGGAGCAUGAGAGCUAUGUUCGUCACUGGAUUGAGGAGAGGAUUGACUUUAGGCCAUCCUUCAGCAUCAAAUUCUACCCGGGGAAGGUAUAAUAAUUCUAUACCCUGUAAUUUCUAUGUGAAACUUUGAGGCUAUCCAUCCAAAUUAGUGCCUAGAAUUAUCCUGCCACUCUUCUGGAUGUGUGCCUAGAACAAUCACGUCUACCCUUCUAUGCCACAUUGCAUUUGUUUUAAGUCUAGUAAAACCUGAGUGAAGUUGUUUCAAACUGACUGCUUCAUCCAAUGUUACUAUGUGAGCCUUGAGGAUACCUAGUAGUACUUAGUUCGUAUUUUUACAAGACUAGUCCCUUUCCUGUAGCUAUUAUAAGCGUGCAGUGAAUCUUCUCAGUGUCUGGUGCAUAUGUAGACCUUGCUGCCGUUUGCUUCCAUUCAGCAGUAUUCUUAUUUUACAUCAUGUUUUUAUAGAGUCUCAUUUAUGGGUAUUAAAGAUAACUUGACCUACCUUUUUAUGAUGCAGUUUUCUACAGAAAUGAGGAGCAUUCUCCCUGUUGGAGAUAUUACAGAAUGCAUUCCAGACGAAGUGGCUGACAUUGCAGUAUUGGAAGAGCCUGAGCAUCUAAAUUGGUACCACCAUGGGCGAAGGUGGAAAAAUAAAUUCCGGCGAGUGAUAGGAAUCGUUCACACAAAUUAUCUGGCAUAUGUAAGGAGAGAAAAGAAUGGGCAAGUGAUUGCUUGUUUCCUCAAGUAUGCCAACACCUGGGUAACUCGAAUUUAUUGCCACAAGGUAAUAGCUUGAGUUUGCAGCUAGACAUAUGAGCAUAUCUACAGUAAAACAUUUGUUCUAAUAGCAUUACUUUCACUCAUAUAAAACCUUUUUACUUCUGUCCAUGAUGUCGCGUCUUUUUUCAUAUACGUUAACAAUCUACAGCAUGAUGUUUUGUGAUAAAUAUACAGAUGUCACUAAGCGUGUGUCCUUGCUAUUCAUUGCAUGCCAAAAGUAUAUGCUUCAGAUACAAUAUCAAAUUUUUUAGCUACAACCCUGUUUGUCUCCUGGUUUGAUGCAGUGAACUUAGUAGGUACUUUUUCCUGAAAAUGUAUUAUGAUUUAUGUGCUAUGUUGAACUUAGUAGUCAGAAGUGUACAAAAAAGAGCUGCUUGGAUUUUUAGUGAAAUCCUUGAAACAUAAAUGAAAGUUGAAUUGAGAAGCACAAGCAAAGCCAUCUAAUGAUUCUAAUGAACAAUUUCUGUACUACCGAGAGAAUCCAGAACUACGAACUUCGUCCAUGAUUUUGUAAAGUCUCGUAUGCUGAUCUACCACUAGCACUUGACCAUUGUGCAUUGGUCCUGUUUGGUAGGACCAUAUGCAAUUAGUAUUUGAUUUGGUGAAGGAUGAUUUGGUUUUGUUUUAACUAGCAAGUCUAGGCAAGAGUAUGGGUACGAAUGCUAUGUUCUAGAAAUAGGCAUACUUUCUUGUUAACUAAUGAACCUUACAUAUUGUGAGAAAACAAUGUACAUAUUUAUGCAUGUGGACCUAUUGCAUUCCAAAAGUGUUUUAUGGUGGUAACUGGUAUCCAGUUACAGUUGCAUCUUGCUUAUUGAAACUUGUAGUCUCUGGUAUUUCUGUGCAUGAUACCUUGAUGUAUCAAAGUGAUUUAAAAUUUGGGAAAUGGAGAAAUUUGUCACUUACGUACCUUGAAUUUGCCUCGUAUAAAUGCAUGUGCUGGUUUUCUUUCUACUGCCUCUCUAUAAACCAUUGGAUUUAGAAAACUGAAUGCCUAGUUGAGUCGUCCUGCCCUGUUUAAUUGAGGCAUAUACUGACUUUUCUCCUGAACUUAAUGCAGAUUAUCAGGUUGUCAGGUGCCACUCAAGAUCUGCCCAGAUCUGUUAUAUGCAACGUCCAUGGUGUUAAUCCAAAAUUUCUUGAGGUAGGCAAACUAAAGUUGAGGCAGCUGCAGAGUGGGGAGAAAGCCUUCACAAAAGGGGCAUACUACAUCGGGAAGAUGGUAUGGAGUAAGGGAUACAGGGAGCUUCUUGACUUGCUGUCCAAAUAUCAGACCAAGUUAGCUGGUCUUGAAGUGGAUUUAUAUGGUAGUGGAGAAGAUUCUGAUGAAGUCCGUGAAUCUGCCAAUCGUUUAAGUUUGACUGUCAAUGUUCAUCCUGGUCGUGAUCAUGCAGAUCCCUUGUUCCACGAGUGAGUUUCUUAUUGCUUAAUUCAUUCCACCUUAUUUUCAUUGACAGUCAAUCAGUCAUAUAAGUUUAACAUGCCAAAGACAUCUCACUCUCACCAUUGAAAAGUUGGGUUUGAAUGCAAUAUUGGUUUGUAUUAUCUCCCAUUGUCAAGACGGUAAUAGCAAUUUCUUCAUCAGCCUUUUGUUAUCGGAUAGCAUGCAACUGAAUGAACUGAAACACAAAUUACACAAAGUUAUCAAAGGAGGCUGGGCAAGGAGUAAUUAUGUUAGAUUACCCAGAGUUUCAUUAUAAGAUUUGGCAUCACUGUUGUGCUUUGGAUAUACCAACUGUUUCUGUUAAAAGUCUGAUACACUUUGAUUCACCAACAGGUAUAAAGUAUUCAUCAACCCCAGCACCACAGAUGUGGUCUGUACGACCACUGCUGAAGCCUUGGCAAUGGGAAAGAUUGUCAUAUGUGCCAAUCACCCAUCAAAUGAGUUCUUCAAGCAGUUCCCCAACUGCCGUAUCUAUAACAACGAAGAAGAGUUUGUACAGCUAACGCUGAAUGCCCUAUCAGAGCAGCCUGCUCAAUUGACAGACACGCAGAGGUACGAGUUGUCAUGGGAGGCGGCAACUGAGAGGUUCAUCGAGGCCGCUGAUAUAAACCCACGUGCGCCGGAGUCCAGGACCCAUCCAACCUCGAGGGCUUCGUUGCCGGCGUUCCUGAGAACUCGUAGACUGAAACAGAACUUGGAGGACGCGUCAGUUUACCUGCACCAAGCUCUCUCAGGUCUGGAAGUCACCCGGUGUGCAUUUGGCGCUGUUCCAAAGACGCUGCAGCCUGACGAGCAGCUAUGCAAAGAUCUUGGUUUGGCACCUCCGGUGAAGAGGAAAAGGCUGAAAUUUAAGCUGACGACGUAACGUUUGUAACUUACAUCUACCUCGUGUUUGCAGCGUUUUUCUUCAUGCAUGUACAGCACUAGUAGACAUUUUCUGUUAUUUUGAAAUGAGACGCUAAUGGAGGGUUCGUGCUUAUUUUCUCUGUUUACUGGGAUGCGUUGACCGGACUACAUUGUAAAUUUUCUAUAAUUCUGUGAAUUGAUUGAUGGGCCGUAAUGAACUGUGAAGUCUGACGUACGCACUCGCGCUACCAUCGCGUGUGGUCACAGAGCGUGCUGAUCACUCAAUUUUCAACUCCGUAUUUAGGUAAUCUUGUGGUUGCUGAUCACUCGAUUAUUCUGGUCCUGUCAACAUCAGAAUCGAGUGAUCAGCAAGAGUCAGGCAAGCCUUUUCAUGUGCCGUCAUGGAUCAAAAACGUAAGAGUGCCACUGCCGAUAGAGCAAGGCUUACCCCAAAUGAUCAAGCUAACCACCCCAUGAGCCCAUGGUAGAUCCACAACCACAAGCAAAGCCACGCAUUAAAAGCUUAAACUAUGACCAGACCCCCAUUAAUUAGCGAGGCCACUUGCCUUCCUUCCCCCAAAAGCAACCGAUUCCAGCCUGCAGGCCACCUGGCUACAAUCCGACGAUAACGUGGAGACAGCUACCAUCCGUCGAUAACGUGGAGACAGCUAGUCGCUUUCCUUCGGUCCUUCCUUCUCUCUCCGGCACACGAUCCUCGCCGUCCGUCCUAUCACGCCGCUCCUGCGCGGACGGGCCAGUGCGCCCCGCCCACGGCUUUUGCAAAACAGCGACCGCGCCGGCCCACGGCUAGGGUGGUAACGGAUCCCAUGUCCUCCUCCUUCACAGUACAGUUCUAUCUAAUUUCAAUUCAAAAUUAUAUAAUAUUAUAAUCCGACCCACGAUCCUAAAAUUGGCUUGCCGGAGUCGCGUAUCUCCCACACCGGAUCCUGCUGUAGCGCUGUCUGGCCCCGCGCGCGCCCGCGGCCCGUCGCUGCGGCGCGAUACGUGUCCCGUGCACGAAAGCCGAGUACGUCACCGCGGGCGGGGCGGGGCGGGGCGACGCGACGCGACCGCUUUGUCCGGCCGCCUCCACCGCGCGCCUCGUACGGUACGGCCAAGCGCUGACGCGGCAGCGGCCGCGGGCGGGCGACACGUGGUCGCGGCCGGCGGUCCAUGUGGGCAAGUUGGGCCACUUGACACGGUGGGGACGAGACGACCCCGCCCCGCCUUCCGCACUGGCGCGCGGACGUGUCGCGGUCGGCGGGGCGCCCACACGUGGCGCGCGAUGCGUCCUCUCUCGGGUGAGAGAGAAGAGGAGCGGUGGCACUGCGCGCGGCCGCGGACUUUGCCUUCGUGCGGGCUACUGGUGCCGUGCGGGGCAGCUACUGGUGCCGUGGGGCACACCCCCCGUGGGGACGGUUUGUCAGUGAGCGAGGCUGGAUCGGAGAUAAGUAUGGUGACGAGGGCGGGUAGUACAGGUACCUGAAAAGUGACCGGGCAAGUUGGGUGGUGUUGUCCCCACGUGGCAGAACGUGGCUCCACUCCACCUCCCCUUUUGCUCCUAAUCGCCGCCGAUCUUCCCGCGCCACGCCGAGCCGGGCUUGCGAGCUCCGCGACGCCGGAGCCACCUACGAAAUGAUGUUUUCUACUCGUGAGAUCUAUUUUAACAGCCUAAUAAUUUUAACACAAUAAAAAUUUUGUAAAUAACGGACGGAAGAGGAAGAAAAGACAAACGGACUGGCUAGCUUUGAGUUUAUUUUUGCCAGUGCCGGAGAGUCCAAUUACUUAUUUUCAAUAUUCGUGUGAAAUUCUUGCGUUUUAGGGAGCCAGUUAACCAAACUACUCCAGUAUUAAUAAUCGAAUUGUGGCCACAUGCUAAAAAUAUAUACAAUAAAUAACAUAUAUAAACAGAAAUUACCACCAUAACAUUAUGUUAAAACAUACUUAGUUACCAUACCCUUUUUUUGAUGUCACGACUUUGAAUAGUAUUUUGACAAUUACCAUAACAAGUUAAUAGUUGGCCUCAAUUUUGCCAAAUGUCACUACGAACUUCACUAUCUUCUUCGGUAAAAAAAACUUCACUAUCUUCUUCUACAUGUACCAUCUCAUCAUCUGAAGUGACUCCACCUUGACCUCGCUCCUCCACAAUCAUUUUUCACUUGAGAACUGCAAGAUUUCUCUACCAUCUAGCUACACGAUGACUUCUUUGUCGUGGCUAGAGGACAAUAAAAACCUUCUUUCACUCCCUAAAACCUUAAACCUAAAUGACACUUUUUUAUCGUGCCAUCCAACAACCAGGUUGCCAACAUUUUAAAAAAGAACAUUGAAUAAAAGCACUGCUAAUUCAUGCAUAUGUUACCCUGCAUUCUUUUAUCUCGGUUGCCAGAAGCUGAUCUUAUCAUUGGGGCAUACAAAAUUGAAUAUAAGGUUAUAAUAAAAUUUGUAAUUUAAUUCACAUUCCCUCGAUACAUAAUAAAUGACAAGCUAAGAAAUUCCAAAUACCAAAAAAUAGUAUCACGGACUCACGGUUUGAUGGGACCACAUAAAUCAGAAAUAGGUAAAAUAGGUGAGAUUAACACCAAAAAGAGGUAGCUAGCUAACGAAAAUGUGAAAGUGAUUUUAAUUGCCAUGGAUUAACGUCUAACUACUUUGGAGCAUUUUGUGUGUCCAUGGGGGCAAUUGAGCCACUCGCUAGUGUGGUACGGGAAGGUGAACAGUUAGCCUCUCAUACCUAAUGUUAUGUAUCAUGGAUCGCGGGACAUGCGAUACAUGAUAUGACAGUUAUGAUGUGGUGCUCCAGCAGGCAAACGACCGCGACACCCAUUGCGCGAUAUGGUGCUCCAAUAGGCAAACGGCCGCGACACCUAUCGCACGAUGUGGCACUUCAGCAAGCGAAUGGUGCAACACCCAGCUCGCGAUGCAGCACUCCAACAGGUAAAGAGCUGUGACACCCGACACACGAUAUAGCGCACAAGCACUCAAAUAGCCACGACACUCAAUGUCCGAUGCAGUGCUCUAACAAGCAAAUAAAGGGGCGCGACACCCCACGUGCGAUGCGGUGCACUGACAUGAAAAAAGCCAUGACAUCCAGCCCAUGAUACGGCGUACUAGAAGGGUAAGCGGCCACGUCACCUAGCGCGUGAUGUGGCGCACUAUCAGACAAACGGCCACGUCACCUGCAGUGUGAUCCAACGCACUAGAGGGUAAACGGCUUCGACACCUAGCGUGUGACGCGCCCACUAACAGGCAAAUGGCCACAACAUCUAACUUGUGACGCGGCCCACUAGCAGGCAAACGGCCGCGACACCUAGCGUGUGACGCGGCACACUAGCAUGCUAACUAACCGGCACCCGUCAUUCUCUACGGCGCGAAAAUAUCCACGCAGGAGAUAAGCGAUAGCACGCGAGUUGCUCACGGACUUUGGAUGCUAGCCCAAAGCCAGACCUUUCCACCGCUAUAAAUUGCUCUUCUGCUAGCCUUGUUCUUGCAUCGAUCUUCUUCCUUCUGGGGCCCUAACUUACUCUAAAGCUCCCUUGUCUAGGAUAGCUUCAACCAUAAGAUCUGCCACCUCUACAUGCUUUGUUAGUUUGGCAGGGUAAGUAGCCCCCACCUUAAUCAUCUCCACUGUCGUCUGGUGCCUGUUAUCUAACUAGCCGCGACCUACCGUGGUGUUCACUAGUCUUCCUGUCUUGGCUAGAUCUCUGCAUCCAAAGGUUCCCAGAAUCAUGAAUCUCAAACCCUUAGCCCUAGUUCCUAGUCUCUAAUUUUAACCCGCUUUUUGAAAUGUGAUCCGUCGCAGAUUGAGUAUGUGAUUAAAGAUUUUGCUGGAGAUGGCGAAGAUUGUUAAGUAGAGAGAGAAAGGUAGAGAUAGUGAAUAAUAGAGGUGGAAUAUGGUUUUUCAAAAAGAGAAAAAAAAGAACUUGCCCCGAGGUGACAGUAGGAGGGUCAUCGGUUCGUGAUUCUGGGUACUUUUGGAUUUGGAUGUCGUUCAGCCAGUCUGCAUCCACCGGUCACUGCGCGCAUCCGCGACUCGACUCGGCACACACAACCCACGGGCCCAGCUCCAGCCGUGGCUGCCGAUCCCACCGCGGCACGCUCGGCUCUCGCCGCGGCUGCGCGGUGGCGCGCGAGCUCGCACCACGCGUCGGCCGCCGCAUCGACACGCGUCGCGCCGGAGGCAGCAGGCCUGCGCGUCUCCGCCAUCCCCAGCGGAAGCGCAUGCCUCAAAAGCGAAACCAACCAGCCCAAAAAGGAGCAGAAAGCUUUGCCUCCCCCUCAUCUUCUCCCCCCUUCCCCGCGAGGCGCGCUCGAGGCCCCGGCGAGGAGAAGCAGCAGCGCGUCACCUCGCCAAUGGCGGCCCCCUCCCUCCUCCUCCGCGUAAGUGGCCCUCUCUUCCCCGUCCCGUCUGCUCCGGCGCGGCGACUCUGCUUGCGCCGCCGGGAAUUGUUGCUCCUGCCGUCCUGCGGCGUUGCUCAGCUCUUGCCUUAUCUUGUCCCUGACCCCGUCUCCUGCAGGUACUUCUUGGAUGCGGGCGCUUCCUGUGACAAGCUUGCGCGCGGGAUGGAGGGCUAUUCGAGGGACUUGCUGGGCGGGAUCGGCAGGGGAGACGCGCCGGCGCCGCCACAGGAGCAGGGUCCGGGGCCGGCGCGGUCGGAGGAGGUCGAGCUGAGCCUCGGGCUGUCCCUCGGCGGGCGGUUCGGGGUCGAUAGGAAGGGGGAGAAGCUCGCCCGGUCGUCGUCCAUGGCGGCCGUCAUGACGGCGCCCGUGGAGGCGCCCGCGCUCGGGAGGACGAGCUCGCUGCCGGUCGAGACGGAGGCGUCGGAGGUGGGGAGGAAGCAGGGGCUGGAUGGAUGGGGUUCGAGCCGUGAGACCGGUGGUCCCGCCGAGGAGCCGGCGGCGAGACUGCGGCCGAGCUUGAGCCCUUCAUCUGGCUCGUCGGACGGCGAAGGGCAAAGGUUGCAAGGUGCGUGUGGCUUCUCUGUUUUCUCCCGUGGGAGGUUUAUACUUAGUAUUUCGCUACCCAUAGGUGGUAAUUUAGCUUUCAGAUUCCAUGCUUAGCAGUGCUGAUUGAGAUUGAUUUGGUUGAUGACUUGAUGUUUGUAAAAUUGCGUUAAUUAGGCAUUAUAUUUUAUUGCAGAGGAGAAAAACAUGAUAGGCAGAUACCAAUCUUUCAAGAAAUCAGUUUGUGAUUUGCAGUGUUGAGUGACGUAUGAUGUAUGAAGUAGAAACGUAGAACACUUGUGCGUGGAGGCCUAGAGUAAGUAUUGAGAUUUGGCUAGCUAAUGAGAUCUGGGGCUGCAUCCUGCAUUGUUAGCAUUGGGCAAUUGUAGUACAGCUUGUUUCGCGCUUCUUGUACUGAACAACUUUACCAUACCAAAUUAUGGGAGUUAAACUAUUUACAACCGUUGCAUGUCACAUUCAAGUACAAUGAACAGGGUGCUUUAUCAAGCAUGAUGUAGUUUGAUGGAUGGAUGGUAAGCAAGUUUAUUUUCAGGAUAUUAACUAUGCUCUUGUAGCUUUUUAGGUCGCAUGACAUGAACAAAGUAUUUUUCUCUUACCUGAAUAGUUUGAUGAGAAAUCAACUCACAUAACCAUGUGUGCCUUUUCUUCUACAUAUCCUGUACUAUUUUUAGGUGGCAUUUGGUUCGUGGGAAAUGGAUAGGGAAAGGGUAAUGAGGGGUGGAUAGGUUUUAUCCCAUGUUUGGAUAGUGGAAAAGGGAAAUGUAGAUGGAUUGGAUAGGGAGAUGAGGUUGCCUUUUCCAGCGAUCUGAACCCGAUGGGAAUGGUGGGUUACCAACAGGAAAUCAGGCUGUGGCGUGGUGGACACGGAGCAACAUUGGUUGUGGGGUGAGACGAUGACGCUGCCAUGGUAUCCAUGGUUUGGGUUUGAAGUGGGUCCUACUUGCUAAAUAAAUAGAACAGACUCCACGUUGCUUCAAACCCAAACCCAAACCUGAUUUGCCAAACAACGGAUUGAUUUUCAAAUGUUAUUUCCCGAUCCAUAACCCACCUCUCCAUAUCCCAUCCUAUAUCGCUCUUUCCCUUUCCCACUCACCAUCCAACACCACCUUAAGUGAUUCUUGUAGUUGGAGAAAGUACUAACUACUGAAUAUUGCAGACACCCUCGUAAGGAGUACUUCACUCCCUGCCAGCAUUGAUGCUGCUGGCACCGAGGAGUGGAGGAAGCGAAAGGCAGCUCAGAGUCUGAAGAGGCUCGAGUUGAAAAGGAAGAGGGUUGAGAGGAGGAACUCUCUCACUUGCAACACCUUAAAAGAAGCGGGUGGGCAAAUCGUGGAAGAGGUGAUGAGGGCUCCCAAUGACAAAUUGCAUCAGGCUAUCAGCACAUCACACGAUAGUUUGUCAGCAGGGCGAAGGAAGCCAAAUUCAGCCUCCAAAGGUAUUCUUUUGUUUGUAUGUUUGUUCCACCGUUUAGGCUUUCUCAAUAUCCAUUUCCCAUGUUUCCAAGAACAUGAAUCUUACCUGCCACCACAGUAUCAGCGACAAUAUACCAUAAGCGUAACAACUGAAUGACCUGGAUUGUGAGCUGUUGUUUGUUUAUGAUCGAAACACUUACUAUUCUCUAGUGGUUCUUCCUUCCAUUUGUUUUCUGUUAUAAAAAGCUGCUGUAUCUUACUUUCAUGUCUGAUCUUCCAGGAACAGCCACUGCCGAGGCGCACAGCCCGUCAUCAGUUGGUCCACCCGCUGGUGAGGUUGCAAGUUGCGCAACGGUAGCAAGCCUACCACCGUCUUCGUUGGCUGGCAGAGCGGCAGCCCUUGGCUCCAGGGGAUAUCAACAAAGCACUUCGGGCACAUAUGCAGCAAGGGCAAGGAGCAUGGGGGAUGUGGAGAGAACCAUGAUGCAAGAGAUGCCGAGCGUCUUCACCAAGGGUCUCCCCAACGGCAACAGGUUGGAAGGCUUCCUGUACAAGUACAGGAAAGGCGAACAAGUGCGAAUAGUUUGCAUUUGCCAUGGGACCUUCCACACUCCCGCCGGGUUCGUGGAGCACGCGGGGGGCGGCAACGUCUCCAACCCGCUGCGGCAUAUUGUCGUCACCCCGCUCGAGAACCUGUGAACCUUCGCUGCCAGACCCAUGCAAAUGCAAGUGUUCUGUAGUGUCACCUUCAGCCUAGCAUCAGAGUAGAUGUCAUCGACCGAUUGUGUAGUACAGUGCUUAUUAUGCUGAUGAAAUUGAGGGCCAUUGCUCCCAGCCCUGCCGACAUCUUGGUGGUAGCAUGACCUGUUGAUAAUGACUUAAUCCUUCCUGAGAGUGGUUUAGUUCUGUAGCGUCAGCCUUCAGCCUAGCAUCAGAGUAGAUGUCAUCGACAGAUUGUGUAGUGCAGUGCUUAUUAUGCUGAUGAAAUUGGGAGCCAUUUCUCCCGGUUCUGCCGACUUCUUGGUGUAACAUGACCUGUUGAUAAUUGUCUUGAUCCUUUCUGAGCGUGAUUUAGCCCUGCAACUUCCUUUCGUGUUGGUAGCCAUGAUUUCGCAAAGCUCCCUAUCACUAGUGAUAAUGUAGACCAUCAACUUUUCUAUAACUUGAAAAAGGAGUGCGAUGGCCAUAUGCAUCUCGUGUAGAGUAUAAUAGUAUUUGUUUCUUUAUUCCAUUAGAGUGAUUCCUCGAUAAGGUGGCAGUGGCGAUUCUCGAAAACCUUGUCAGGAAAGACACUUGAAUGGAUGUCACAGUAAUGCAUAGUGCAAUUUGUAUUAUAUAUACACUGAUGACUGGUGAGAAAGAAAAGGUUGACUCUACAAGUCUACAUCUGGUUGCCGAAUGCCGAUAGAUACAGAACUGAGAAAAUGAGCGGCGAGCUUACUUCAAUUACUCCUAAUAAUCUUUGGCUAUUUGCUCAAAAUAUUGCAGAUAUGAUGUUACUCGAACUGGAAUUCUACAAGCUCAAAAUAUUGCGGAUAUGAUGGAAUUCUACAAAGGCUUCAUACUGAACUGUCUUAGCAUCUUGUUGCUUGACAUCAAGCUAAACAUACACCUACAUAUCUUACAUCAGCGCUAAAACUAGUGAGCACCUACUUAACACAGGAUAACAUUAAGUUACUACAUCUCAAAAGCCUGCCUUGUGUAGGAAAACAUCAAGAGGGCCAGCCCUCCACGAUUCACCAGAUACACUACAUCUUCUAGCAAGCAGUAAGCUUCGCGAUCUCCUCGAGCAGGUACUUAGAUUCAGCUGCGUAGUCAACCGGCGCCUCUGUCCUCACGGUGAUCCUCUGCCUCCUCUCGUUCAUGUACUCAUGCUGCGCCACGCUGACGCGGAACAGAUGGGGAACCCAUGUGGCUUCCUUGAGCUUCUGAAUGUAGCUGUCGUCGCCCUCCUGCAAGGAUGAUGAUCACACCAUCAGGCACAGGCAAACAAGGAAACAGCUGUUGCAUUCUGGAAACUGAAGGCUAAAGCUGACAAGUUUUCUCAAGCCGGAAUUUACCUCUUUCCUGAUCCGAUCAAGCUCAUCAGCGCUGCAGCCAAUGAUCCUCUCUGCAUGCUCGUUGAAGACAGAAACCCAUGCCUCACCAGUGGGAUCAGAAACCUUGAUGACCAUGAUGUAUCUGAACGAGGCAUGUAAAUAUUCAGAUUGGCACCAAAUAAAUAGUACUAGCAGCCUAGCAGGUAUGGACAUAAUCUGGCCAUGAUUUUAUUACCUCAGUGAGCACUCAGCAUCAUUCUU
rnacentral:lncRNA from 1 species